UUUUCAACCAUUACCUGUUGAUGUUGUUAGAUCUGAGGUCUAUUCUCAAAUCCGAAUCCUUCGAUCUCUUCUCUUAUUCCAUCACAACCUUCUAGGGUUUUAAGCCUAGCUAUAUAUAUAACCCUUCAUAAAGAGAACUCUUAUUCAUCUCUCUAUGAUCUCUUUCUCUCUCUCAGUACCAAUAAAUAUCACCACCUUCCUUCUCUUCCAUCACUAUUCCAUUUAUUACAAGACUCCUUUGUGUCUCUCUUCUCUUCGUGUAGUAAAUACAAUCUCCUUGAAGAACAUUGGAAACAGACCGGAUCUUUCAACUUUUGUUCCUUUUCAUGAGGGUUUGACUAAGAGUUUCUUACAGACUUCUUUGGCAUUCUGUCCACCUCCUUCUAUACAUAUCUGCAUGUAUAUAUAUAUGCCAUUUUGUGUGGAAGAAGGAGGUGGGUAUACUGCCAAUAGAGAUCUGUUAGGGUUUCUUCGUAAAACCCUCUUGAUCGAUAUAUAACUUUAUCAAUAUCUUGAAUCUGACGAUCUUGUUUUGUUUUUGUUGACGAUGACGAGCUUCCAUGAUUGAGUGUGUAACAUCUGGACUAUAUCGUAAGAAGGUUGACUAGUGCGAGGUUCAUAUGUUUCGGCUUCUAGGAAAAAGGUUAAAACACUAGUAAGAAAAAGAGACUAGGACCCAGAAUUUCAAAAAGGUAAUCAAGGUUUUGUUUUACUUUGAGAAAUGGUAAUGUGGGAAAGGAGAGCAUCUUGUUUUUGAAGUCCACGGUGUUAUUAUGAUGUUCCCUUUGUUCUAUUUGAAGUCGAAGACACAGUAUUAGAGAUUACGUGUACUCCUUCAUUUGGUAUCAUUUCUGACCUAUAUAUACAAAGCUAUAUUCUGAUCAAGAUGAGUUGGAUAUAAUGCAUAUUUGUUCCUUGA